CCCACGAACAGAACCAGCCCACUCACCUCUCUCUCUCUCCCCCAAGAACAGAGCACGGCCGCCGUCGCCUCGAUCUGCCCCGUCCGGGCAUCUCCGGCGACACGGCAGAUACCUACAGAUUCUCCUCGUCUCCCUCUACCAUAUCCCUCUAUUUAUUUGAUCCGCCGCCGCCAAAAACAUCGCCACCACUCAAUCCUAGCGCCGCCUGAUCCAGGUCCGGUGGGCUUGCCACCGGCUGCAGCAGCAACGACGUCUCCAUGCCUACAUCUUCCUCCAGCAGAGCUACACGCAUGAGACGUGCAACUACGGCCGUCAGGUGCGAGCGGCUUCACCGGCGCGGCUCCGACAACAUGGCCGCUACCAGCGCCCGGCUCGCCUUUGUCUAUUGCUACUAGUCAAGGUAAAUAGAUCAAGGUGAAUAGAUACUUAUGGACUGAUUCAAACCGAGGUGGAGAUAGAUAAGAAAUCAAGCAAGAAGGGCUAACACAACAAGGUACUUGAUUAGUACCUGGUGGCGCAUGCAACCCAAAGAGCUUCACAGCAGGGGAGGAUAGCAGUGUGGCAGAAGGUGAAAAGGCAAGGUGAAAAGGCAGAGGGGUUUCUCCAGCGGAUGAUUGUGUGUGGCCACAGUGAAAGGGAUGGCUCCUAUUUAUAGUGGGGUGAAUAGCUAUGUCGGUUUGGAGAGGCAUUACAUCUGGCAUGCAUGCGUGGUUACUCUUGCAUGCAUGCCUCCACUUGUGUCUCUUGUGGGCUGUACUAGGGACAAGUGUAAUUUGCUUGGCCGGCCAUUAGUUGGCAUUUACUUUGUGUGAAGGAAAUGAGACAAGGGUCUAUAAAAUAUAGGGAGGUUUGGAGAAGAAUUGUUGUGCAUGACUAAAUGCUAUUAGCUGUAAUAAAAAUAAUAAUUAAGUUUA